AACGAACGCUGGCGGCAGGCUUAACACAUGCAAGUCGAACGGGUGUAGCAAUACAUCAGUGGCAGACGGGUGAGUAACACGUGGGAACCUUCCUAGGGGUACGGAACAACUCAGGGAAACUUGAGCUAAUACCGUAUACGUCCGUGAGGAGAAAGAUUUAUCGCCCUUAGACGGGCCCGCGUCGGAUUAGGUCGUUGGUGGGGUAACGGCCUACCAAGACGACGAUCCGUAGCUGAUCUGAGAGGAUGAUCAGCCACACUGGGACUGAGACACGGCCCAGACUCCGACUGGAGGCAGCAGUGUGGAAUCUUGGACAAUGGGCGCAAGCCUGAUCCAGCCAUGCCGCGUGAGUGAAGAAGGCCUUAGGGUUGUAAAGCUCUUUUACCAGGGACGAUAAUGACGGUACCUGGAGAAUAAGCCCCGGCAAACUUCGUGCCAGCCGCCGCAGUAACAC
rnacentral:rRNA from 1 species